CCAAUAGCGUAUAUUAAAGUUGUUGCAGUUAAAAAGCUCGUAGUUGAACUUCAGGCCUGGCUGGGCGGUCCGCCUUCCGGGUGAGUACUGCCUGUGGUCGGGUCCUACCUUCUGGCGAAGCGUCAUGGCCUUAACCGGCCGUGGCGGGGAAGCAGGACUUUUACUGUGAAAAAAUUAGAGUGUUCAAAGCAGGCACGCGCUUGAAUACAUUAGCAUGGAAUAAUGGAAUAGGACAGUGGUUCUAUUUGUUGGUUUCUAGGACCGUUGUAAUGAUUAAUAGGGAUAGUUGGGGGCAUUAGUAUUCAAUUGUCAGAGGUGAAAUUCUUGGAUUUAUUGAAGACUAACUACUGCGAAAGCAUUUGCCAAGGAUGUUUUCAUUAAUCAAGAACGAAAGUUAGGGGAUCGAAGACGAUCAGAUACCGUCGUAGUCUUAACCAUAAACUAUGCCGACUAGGAAUCGGGCGAUGUUGACAAAAUGACGCGCUCGGCACCUCAUG
rnacentral:rRNA from 1 species